CUGUGCUACUAGUAGUACUACUGAAAUGAAGUAUUUCAACCAGUUCUAGUCAAUCUGGCGCUCCACUCAUAAUACUGGGAGCAGGCUGUUUUCGACUACCGCAGUUUUGCCUUUCGAGUAACACGUGGCUGUCCUAGUCAGGGCGGCCCGUUGUCCUCCUAGUGAGGGCAAAGAGUGUGCUCAUAAUACGAGAUGAGAUGGAUACUAAGGAUAUCUCAUUGAUAUUAUUCACAGUGCACUAGUUUUCUGUCAUAAAUAAGCACACUCACUACUGAAUGUUGAAUAAAUGUAUAAAUAUGCCAGAUGUGAGGACAAAAA